GGGAGUGACGGCCCUUCUGGGAAGCACCGCCGGGAGCCGGGAGUACGUGGACGCGGAGGAGCCCUGCCCCAGGUAGAACUGGGCCCGCCGAUCCCGGCGGGGGGGGACGGGGGAGCGCCGCCUUCUGUGCCGUGAUUUUUUUGUUUUGCAACCGGGCAGUACGAGGCCUCGCCCAAGGUCACCUCAGGGCUGUGCACUUGGAAGCUCGGGGCCGCCCCCACCCCGCCUGGAGCGGGAGAGGGCCCGGCGUCCCUGGGGAGGGGACCGCGCGGACGCGGCAGCCCCUGGUUCGGGCGAGCGGGGAAGCUCUGGGGAGGAGGGAGAGGGCCAGCAGUUGCGCCCUUGCCCAGAAGCGGGUGUGUCCUUUCCAUCUUGAGGACAGAAACUUGGGCCUCAGAGAAAUGAUGUGAUUUUUUUUUUUUUUUUUUUUUUUCCCUAGCUCAGUGCUGGCUUUGGGCGAUUUAUUGUGACUUUGCUGCAUGUCAUUUUAUCUUCCAUGCGUUUAAUGGCUGAGGAAAUAGCGGGACGGGGAGGUGGGGUCACCUUGCAGGUAACUGUGGUGGGGCUGAGACUUAGCUCGAGGCCUUGCCUCCGGGUCCUGGGCACUGCCUGGCAACCCCACGUCGCUGUCAUCUCCCUGCUCUCUUCAGGGAUGGUCCCCAGGACUUCUGCACUUGGUAGCGUGGCCACCAGCCCACCUGCACCCCCUCCUCACCCUGCUAGCCUCCCACCUCUAGCCACCUCCCAACUAGUCAUUACUUGGCAGGCACACAGGGCAGGUGACUUGGUGAUGGGUCGGCGCCCCCAGCCUUUGGCCUGGCCAUUCCCACCUGCGAGGAAUGCCUUGCCUUCUCCAUGCAAAUGCGACGUGGGAUCCUGGUUUGGAUCCUGGGACACAAAAAAGGAAGGCAGCGGAAGAAGAGGUGAAAUCUGAGUAAAGUCUGGAGUUUAAUACCAAGUGCCAAAGUUCCUCGCGGUGACAGCCGAACCACGCCUGUGUAAGUUGUUACCUUAAGAGAAACUGAGUGGGGAGGCUACAGCAAAGCUCACGCAGUCUUUGCUACUUUUCUGUAAAUCUAAGAUUAUAAUAAAAACUUCGUUUUAGAACAUCUAAGGAAAAGCAAAGUUUCCCUACCCGUAGGUCCCCGUCUGGUUCUCCCAGGCCUGUGGACAGAUCAAAGGAAGGAUGAUUCUUCUUCUGCCUCGUCUGCAGGGCGCUGGGCAGUCUCCCGUGGAGAGGGGGGCAGGCUUGGGGCUUGGGCGGCUGUGUCUGUCUGUCUGUCGGGAAGAGUGGUCUUGAGGGCUGCCGAGGUAGGCAAGGCCAAGCUCCUGCUGGCGUGGCCUGCUUGCGUCUGAGUUUCAACUUCAAGGGCAAGGUCAGGGCCACAUACUUCUGGCCUCGUGCCCAGUGGGGCCCGUUCUGAGGGCACCGUGUCUGCUGCGGCACACCUGGAAGCUGGGGCUCCAGAUCCUCUCCCUGCAGAGCCUUCUGGUGGCUGGCCAUUUGGUCACGUGCACCGCUGUGCGGGAGCCAGGCGCCGCCGGCUUAUCACCGCCGCUCGUCCUGCAGCCGGAAGCUGUGAACCGGGCCUCUGCAUGUGCCUGGGGAGGUGCCCCGAAACCAUACCGUUUUGCAGGUGGGGAAAACAGGAUCGCAGGGUACGCUCCCCACACGCAGUGUGGAGAGACAGGCGUACGGAGACAGCCAGGCCAAGAGUCCCUGGGCCCCUCCCUCCUUGACCUUACCCACUGCUCCAGCAGAGGAGGGUUGCAGGCAUUUCAAAGACGGGUGGGCCCCCGUGGAGUUUAUCAGACCAAGGAGGCCCCGGGAAGAGCACUGGGCGAGGAGUCAGGACCUGGGUUCUGGGCCAGCUGUGACCUCCCGCCGCCCCCUUCUGUAAAGAGGCGGGCUAGUCGUGCAGCCCAUCGGAGGCUCUGAGGCUGGCGGCCCUCUUGCACUAGACGACAGGUCUAGGGACCGGGGGCCAGCGGGAGGGGAAUCUUCCCUCCGCCCCAGGCCUCACUGCAGUUUUCUCAGCCUCGGGCUUUGACGUCUCGGUGUUCAAGUGUUGGUUAAGAAACACUCAGUCGGCGCCUCUGUGUAUCAGACACCUUUGCCAAGAAAAAUUAUGUCGUGGACGCACCGUGGGCCCGCCUCACAGCUGCCUCCCCGAGAGAUCACCGCUCGGUCUCUGCACGGCCCUCACUCUCCGGGAGCUGCACCCACAGAUUGCGGCGGGCGGCGGGACCCCGAGGAUUCAACCCAGGAGUCCGGGCCUCCGGCUGCUUCGCAACAGCCCCGCCUCCGCACGCAGCUCAAGCCAGACACCAGGUGCCCGCCAGCGACGGCCCCUGACCUGCCGUGCUGUCUGUCCAGCCGGGCCGCCCGCCUCCUGCUUCCGCGGGAUCCAUGUUGCAAAUCAGCUCGCUCUGCUCCCCGGGCCUGCCACUGCCUCGAGACAGAGCCUGAGCCCUUACCCUUGUGCUGGAAGCUCUCGGGUGGCCCUGCCUGACCCCCCCAACCCCUCACCUACUGCCUCUCUUGUUCACUGCCCUCCAACCUCAGUUGCUGGCUGGCUCUUCCUCUACAAGUUCUUCCGGUUGGCCGCCACUGCCCUGCAGGCCCCCAGACCUUGCCCUGGCCUCAGGUCCAGUCCCCCCACCUCCUCCCUGAAUACUGGUUAUUCAUUGUUUGUCUGCCCCCACCCUCUGCCCCAGAGUUUCCCCGGGGAACAGUGGUGAAACUGGUGUCCCCUGCGACCGGAAUAACGCCUGGCACCUUUGUGGCUGCAGGACGCCUGAACGGAGGCAGAAAGAAUGAAGACGGAGCAGCCCCGGAGGGACCGUCACAGGGGGGCUGGGCGAGCUGUCCCCCACCCUGACUCCGGGAUAUGGCUCUAGGGCUGAGAGGGAAGGGUCGGCCUACCCCGGCUGGUAGGCUCGCAGGGCUGCAGGGGGCAGUGCUGAGAUGGUGGGG
rnacentral:lncRNA from 1 species